rnacentral:rRNA from 1 species
GGGGACAGCGGGGGAACUAAGCCAUGCGAGUCAUUGUAGCAAUACAAGGCAGACGGCUCAGUAACGCGUAGUCAAUCUACCCUAUGGACGGGAAUAACCUCGGGAAACUGAGAAUAAUGCCCGAUAGAACAUUAUACCUGGAACGGUUUAUGUUUCAAAUGAUUUAUUGCCCUAGGAUGGGACUGCGGCCUAUCAGUUUGUUGGUGAGGUAAUGGCCCACCAAGACUAUUACAGGUACGGGCUCUGAGAGGAGUGGCCCGGAGAUGGGUACUGAGACACGGACCCAGGCCCUAUGGGGCGCAGCAGGCGAGAAAACUUUGCAAUGUGCGAAAGCACGACAAGGUUAAUCCGAGUGGUUUCUGCUAAAGGAACCUUUUGUCAGUCCUAGAAACACUGAUGAAUAAGGGGUGGGCAAGUUCUGGUGUCAGCCGCCGCGGUAAAACCAGCACCUCAAGUGGUCAGGAUGAUUAUUGGGCCUAAAGCAUCCGUAGCCGGCUUCGUAAGUUUUCGGUUAAAUCCAUACGCUCAACGUAUGGGCUGCCGGGAAUACUGCAUAACUAGGAAGUGGGAGAGGUAGACGGUACUCGGUAGGAAGGGGUAAAAUCCUUUGAUCUAUUGAUGACCACCUGUGGCGAAGGCGGUCUACCAGAACACGUUCGACGGUGAGGGAUGAAAGCUGGGGGAGCAAACCGGAUUAGAUACCCGGGUAGUCCCAGCUGUAAACUAUGCAAACUCAGUGAUGCAUUGGCUUGUGGCCAAUGCAGUGCUGCAGGGAAGCCGUUAAGCUUGCCGCCUGGGAAGUACGUACGCAAGUAUGAAACUUAAAGGAAUUGGCGGGGGAGCACCACAAGGGGUGAAGCCUGCGGUUCAAUUGGAGUCAACGCCGGG